CCCUUAGACGUUCUGGGCCGCACGCGCGCUACACUGACCAGUGCAACAAGCAUCCGUCCUUGGCCGACAGGCUCGGGCAAUCUUUGAACGCUGGUCGUGAUGGGGAUAAACUUUUGCAAUUUUUGGUCUUCAACGAGGAAUUCCUAGUAAACGCAAGUCAUCAACUUGCAUUGAUUACGUCCCUGCCCUUUGUACACACCGCCCGUCGCACCUACCGAUUGAAUGGUCCGGUGAAGCCUCCGGAUUGGCGCGCACCUCGGUGCCGCCGAGAAGUUGGCUAAACCUUACCAUUUAGGGGAAGGUGAAGUCGUAACA
rnacentral:rRNA from 1 species